rnacentral:rRNA from 1 species
CAUGCAUGUGUCAGUACAGGCCGCUCUAAGGCUAAACCGCGAAUGGCUCAUUAAAUCAGUUAUCAUCCCUUAGAUCAAUACCAACCUUACUUGGAUAACCCUGGUAAUUCUAGAGCUAAUACGUGACCACGGACACUCCGACUGGAAGGGAGGAGUGCUUUUAUUAGAUGAGAACCAAUCGGGCCUCGGUCCGCCAAACACAAACUGUGACGAAUCUGAAUAACUUUGUGCCGAGAGCACGGUCUCCGCACCGGCUCCGUAUCUUUCGAGUUUCUGCCUUAUCAUGCUGUGGAUUGUAGGCCAUGCGCCUACAGUGGCUGUAACGGGUGACGGAGAAUCAGGGUUCGAUUCCGGAGAGGGAGCCUGAGAAACGGCUACCACAUCCAAGGAAGGCAGCAGGCACGCAAAUUACCCAAUCCCAGCCCGGGGAGGUAGUGACGAAAAAUAACAAUGCGGGACUCUUCCGAGUCUGCGUAAUUGGAAUGAGCACACUUUAAAUCCUUUAGCGACAACCAAUUGGAGGGCAAGUCUGGUGCCAGCAGCCGCGGUAAUUCCAGCUCCAAUAGCGUAUAUUAAAGUGUUUAGAGUGCUCAAAGCAGGCCAAACUCAUAAAUUAAGCCCGAAUGUUACCUGCAUGGAAUGAUGGAAGAUGAUCUCGGUCCCAUUUUAUUGGCUCUGGGGAUCCGAGUUAAUGAUAAACAGGGACUGUCGGGGGCAUCCGUACUACGACGCGAGAGGUGAAAUUCAGUGACCGUCGUAGGACGAACAACAGCGAAAGCAUUUGCCAAGAAUGUCUUCGUUGAUCAAGAACGAAAGUUAGAGGAUCGAAGGCGAUCAGAUACCGCCCUAGUUCUAACCCUAAACGAUGCUGACUAGCAAUUCGCCGUCGUUAUUCCCAUGACGUGGCGAGACGCCCCCGGGAAACCUCAAGUCUUUGAGUUCCGGGGGUAGUAUGGUUGCAAAACUGAAACUUAAAGGAAUUGACGGAAGGGCACCACCAGGAGUGGAGCCUGCGGCUUAAUUUGACUCAACACGGGGAACCUCACCAGGCCCGGACACCAGCAGGAUUGACAGAUUAAGCGCUCUUUCUCGAUUUGGUGGGUGGUGGUGCAUGGCCGUUCUUAGUUGGUGGAGUGAUUUGUCUGGUUAAUUCCGAUAACGAA